UUUCCGGUUGAUCCUGCCGGAGGCUACUGCUAUCAGGAUCCGACUAAAGCAUGCAAGGCAUCUUUCGGGAGCCGAACUGCUCAGUAACACGCGGUUAACCUGCCCUUAGGUAACGGAUAACUUCGGGAAACUGAGGGUAAACCGUUAUAGGGAAUUGUUGCUGGAAGGCGCUUUUCUCGAAAUCUAUAUGAGCCUAAGGAUGGGACUGCGGGAGAUUGGCUUGUUGUUGGGGUAAAUGCCCAACAAGGCUAUAAUCUCUACGGGUCAUGAGAGUGAUAGCCCGGAGACGUGCUCUGAGACAUGAGCACGGGCCCUACGGGGCGCAGCAGUUGCGAAACCUUCACAAUGCGUGAAAGCGUGAUGAGGGGAUCCUGAGUGAAUUCGUUUUUCGCGGAUUCUUUUGACAAGUCUUAAUAGCUUGUUGAAUAAGUGGUGGGUAAUACGGUUGCCAGCCGCCGCGGUAAUAACCGAGCCACGAGUGGUAGUCACGGUUAUUGGGCCUAAAGCGUCCGUAGCCGGUUUAUUAAG
rnacentral:rRNA from 1 species